AAAAAAAACUAAUGCUCAUAAUGCUAUUAGUGCCCCUGUGAAAGAAAGUUAAUUAUUACAUAAAUACAUUUUUGAGUAGUUUGUAUUGUAUGAUUAUCAACCAAACUGUAUAUAAUCAUAUACCCUAAAAUCUUAAUCUCAAGGAGAAUCCCCAUCUCAAAUUUAAAGGCCCCACUCCUUCAGCUUGCAAAAUUAGCCUCGAAAAGAAGCCCAUAAUCUUGGCAAACAAAAUAAAUUAAAAACAUGCUUAUUUUGUACAGUAGUUAUUUAUUGUUUUAUAGUGCCAAAAAUUCCAAAAAUUUACAGCAUUCAUUUCGAAAAGAAGCCCAUCUCGAAAAAAAAAAAGCCCAUCCAAAGUUGGCAAAAAAAGAAACCCCGGGCUUCAAUUUGAGGUUUUACAGUAGGCUAAUUAUAGUUACGAGUAAUUAACAUUAAUUUAGUUUUUCAUUAAAUUUGAUAGCCUCACUUUUAUUGAAAGAAAGUGCUAAAAAAUACUUUAACUAUAUUUUUAAGUAUAAUUAAUUAUCAAUCUGAUUUGUUUUCAUAAAGGAACUGGUCUGUGGAAAGCAUUUGCUUUCCUUAAUUCAGAAGUUGAUGGAACAGGAUCAAGACUACUAAUACGCUGCUGUUGAUAUGCUAGAUUCUGCCAACAAUGGUCUUGAUAACAACGGAAUGUCAGUUUGGCCAAAGAUUCAAGCCGACUUUGAUCUUACUGCCCUUAGUUGUACUGAUUUUGAUUACGUUUGCGUGGAAGUCCAAAAAGCGAUAGCCCUGCUCCUGACUUUACACUCACUUAUCAAAUAAGUACAGCUGAUGUUGGCUGUGCUCAAAUACAAUGCACUGGGCUUGAAAUUCUCAGUGGUGCAACUUUGACUAUUACUGCUGGUUUCUUAGAAGAUCGAUCAACAACAGUUGCAUUUGAUGUUAGUUAUCCUACUGGUAAUGCUGGGGUUACUGGCGACAAUCUUUGGGACGUCAAUGUGUAUGCAAGUGCUAAUGCAGAUGGAAGUGGUACAAGGGUUAGUUCUCAACAAGUAACAUUACCAUGUGAGCUCAAAUGGCCCCUGUAAAUGGGUCUACUUGUGGCAUAUAUCUAUGACCCACUGAUGGUAAUGGUGAUAAUUAUAUAGAGAGCUUUCGAUUUGUACGACGGCGCGACGCUAGAAAGGAAGCGCUCGUGUGUGAUCAUCCUGCCGGGCGGCGAAAUUUUUUUUUUCUCGUCAUUUAAGGCAGAAGUCAACAGAGGGCGCGCUAUACUGGGCGCUAUACUCAUGAAUUUUCAAUGAGUUUCGUUCCGAGGUAUCGGCGAUAUUCGACAGCACACACGCAGCUCGCGGCGCUGAAGUCCUAAUUCAAACAUUAGUAUUAUUUCAUUGUUACUUCUGUAUUUUACACAAAAUAUGUACUAUAGUACAUAUUUUGUAAAAUACACAUGAAGUAGGUAAAGUGAAUUAAAAAUACAAUUGAGUUAUAUUUUCAAUGGAACAUCACAGUUAAUUAUAUCGAUUAUGAGAAUUUAAAUUAUAAGAGUGUCAUUUCCAGCAGAGAUCCUCUCGUCUCUUCUACAUUCAUUAUUUUACCUUUUUUGAUGGUGAAUUUUUCGGGGGAUACAGUGUUCGAAUAAAGGACAUAAUACAUUGUGUAGCAUUUACUGUACUUUAAUAAUACUAAUUAGUCAUUAUGACG